CUUGAAUUUUAUAAGAGGUCCAGCCUGCCCAGUGACUCUGUUCAACGGCCGCGGUAUCCUAACCGUGCGAAGGUAGCGUAAUCACUUGUUCUUUAAAUGAGGACUAGUAUGAAUGGCACUACGAGGGUUAUACUGUCUCCUUUUUCUAAUCAGUGAAAUUAAUUUUCCCGUGAAGAAGCGGGAAUAUGACUAUAAGACGAGAAGACCCUAUGGAGCUUUAAACAACCCAGCAAUUACUUCUAAAAAUUUUAAAUUUCAGAAUAUUCAUUUUUUUAAGUAAUAUGUCCGCAAGUUUUUGGUUGGGGUGACCAUGGAGAAUAACUUAACCUCCAUAUUGAAUGAAUUCCAUUCUAAGCUGAAAAUUACCAAUUAAAGCAUCAACACACUGACAUUUAUUGACCCA
rnacentral:rRNA from 1 species